AUCACUCCCCUACCAUCUCUCUCUAACUUAGACUUUCGCUGAUCAUUCACCACUAUCUCUACAACACCGCAUCGGCAGCACCAUCGGGGUUUCUUUCCCUCUUACUGUCGCCUUCAAUCACUUGAAAAAUCCUUCUCUACACUUUGCCAUUUCAUAAUUCCUAACGUCACCACCAACAUACCGAUCGUUCCUAUUCCUAUCUGCCACCAACACCUUCGCCUCUGACAUGGUUGUAGAGUACUUGAGCCAAUUAAGGAACACUACCACGUCAUCUAUUAUGAUGAUUUCUAUCAGGUGAGGCUUUCUUUCAUCCCCUCUUUUUCAAUUAAUCAUUUUUGUGCUUGACAUAAUCUUGUGAUUUAGUUGGCUUUUGUUAUUGUUGUAGAAUUUACUGUAUGACUUGAUGUUCCCUUCAAUCCAGUAAGAGAGUUUACGCUUAUCCCUCUCUCUCUCUCUCACACACACACACACUCUCUCUCUCUCUCUCUUUUUUUUCUCUCUCUCUUAUUUAAUCGACCAUCCUGGUGUUUGUUUGUGUUUACUGUUUGUUAUAGGUUUACAGCAAACCCAAGUAGCAUCCAAUCAUUGUGUCGAGUUAUUGAUCUCCAAUGGAUGUUUCAGUGGAGAAAAUAGCCUUCUUUAUCAUCUUUUAUUAUAGUUAUUUCUACAUGAUUUUUUUGAUGGUUCACAAUUUUUUGGUUUUGGGAUAGCAAGGCUUAUGAGAGAUAAACAGAGAAAUGAGAUUGGGGGUCAUCUUUUCAAGACUAGAUGUCAUCUUUUCA
rnacentral:lncRNA from 1 species